rnacentral:sRNA from 1 species
AGAAACAGCCCAGAUCCAGGAAGCUAUGAGAGUGCCCUCUGAUGUUUACAGAUGAAAGUCAAGAACCUGAACCAGCCCACCAACAACAAUGAAAAGUCAGCAGUUUGCAACCUGGAAGAGGGUCCUCACCAGAACCUGACCAGGCUGGCACACUCAUCUCAGACUUCCAGCCUCCAGAGUAUGACCAUCUUAGUUUUCAAAUUUAGGCUGGUCUGCGAUUUGCUGUGGCUGACAGAAUAUGAUGAAGUGAUGUUAUAUGGGUUCCUUGCUCAGCCUUUAAGUGGUCUUGGAGCUACUGCUCUCUACUCCACACUGCUACCACCAUCUGAAGAGCCCCACAGUAGGAGACACUUGGCCCAGAUAAUCACAAAGAAAAAGAGUAUGCAGUGAGAAGGACAAGUCUCAUAACCACAUGUUGUUAAUGAAGAAGCUGAGGCACCAAGCAACUUAAGGAUUUGACCAAGAUCAGAUAGCACAGCAGAUUCAAAGAUAAUGCCAGCUCAUGAUCUCCUUUUCUGGUGCUGUUUACACCGUGAUACUUCAACACUGAAAGAAAUACCUAUCAAUUCUCUUACUACUUUAAAGAUGCAUUUUUACUGUCUCCAGGCAUCCUCUAAUUUUAUGUUUCUAUUUGUUUCAUAUAGUUUAGGUUAUUAACUCCUAAAGGCUAGGGCAUACAUUUUGAAAUUUUUUUUCUCAGGACGUUAGGAACCUUAAUAAAUUACUUUUGAUGGUUA